rnacentral:tRNA from 1 species
GCUGAUGUGGUGUAAUGGUAACAUUGGAGACUGUGGAUCUCCGGCAGCGGGUUCGAUUCCCGCCAUCGGCC